rnacentral:rRNA from 1 species
GACAGAGGGUGCAAACGUUGUUCGGAAUUACUGGGCGUAAAGCGCGUGUAGGCGGCCCUGCAAGUCGGGUGUGAAAUCCCACGGCUCAACCGUGGAAGUGCACUCGAAACUGCAGGGCUAGAGUCCUGGAGAGGAAGGUGGAAUGCUUGGUGUAGAGGUGAAAUUCGUAGAUAUCAAGCGGAACACCGGUGGCGAAGGCGGCCUACUGGACAGUCGACUGACGCUGAGA